CAGUGGUUUGUGGGCUAUGGAGGAUUCUUGGUUGGUGUUCAUAGUGGCUAAUUUGAUGUGGUCGUAAGCCCAUAUUGGAGGCUGAAUCGGGUUACAUCAUUGCACAACUAUGGAAGCAGAAUUUGAGUUCCAACCAAGGGGGUUAAUUGGUGGGUUGAUUGUUUGGAGGACUUGCCCAAGGGGUGCAUUGGUUAAUUUAGAUUAUGACUUCAGAGGGAUUAAAGAAAAAUAAGAAGAAUUACAUAAGAACCUCUUAUCUUUCCUACCAACUUCACAUGCAUUUUUUUAUGAGAAAAGCUAAAGAUCCCACCGGAUAUAAAUUUUAUAGCCCUGAGGCAUCCAGAAUUUGAGGCAACCCCAAUGAAGAGGAAGAGUGCCCUAGAGAGUUUAAUGAUCCAUGGCUUGUAAGUAGAGUGAUCUAUUAGCUUUUGUCCUGUGGAUUUUGGCUGUGGUAUUUGAAAAAUUAUCUUAAUUCUGUAGAAAAGAAUAGGUUGCAAUGGUUGAAGGCUACUACAACUUGUGAAAUGUUUUUCAUGUCUAAUAUUUGUCGUAGAUGCUCCAGAAGUGUAGAGCCUUUUUUUUCUUUUUCUUU